rnacentral:rRNA from 1 species
CCUACGGGUGGCAGCAGUGAGGAAUAUUGGUCAAUGGGAGAGAUCCUGAACCAGCCAAGCCGCGUGAGGGAAGACGGCCCUAUGGGUUGUAAACCUCUUUUGUCGGAGAACAAAACCCGGGACGUGUCCCGGACUGCGUGUAUCCGAAGAAAAAGCAUCGGCCAACUCGGUGCCAGCCGCCGCGGUAAUACGGAGGAUGCGAGCGUUAUCCGGAUUAGUUGGGGUUAAAGGGUGCCUAGGCGGUCCGGUAAGUCAGCGGUAAAAUUGCGGGGCUAUACCCUGACGAGCCGUUGAAACUGGCAGACUUGAGUUGGCGAGAAGGACGCGGAAUGCGCGGUGUAGCGGUGAAAUGCAUAGAUAUCGCGCAGAACUCCGAUUGCGAAGGCAGCGUACUGGCGCCAGACUGACGCUGAGGUACGAAAGCGUGGGGAUCGAACAGGAUUAGAUACCCCUGUAGUC